GCUGGGCAGGCACUCAAUCUUUGUCCCAGUUAUGGGGAUUACAGGCAUUGCCACCUGUAAUGUAAACAUAUUUGUGCCUGUUUUUGUGUGCACAGCUGCAUUUGUCCCUCUUCCUAAGCACUGGAUAAAGAAACCAAACUAAAUCAAGUCAUUUCAUUGGUAACCAAGAAGACCUUUGAACUCAGAUUCAAUCUGUUCUGUUUUUUAAUUUCCAGGCUGGCCUGGAACUUAGUAUAUAGCCCAGGCUAGCCUUGAGCUCAGGAUCUAAGAAGUUUAAGAAGUGUUGGCAUAUCUGGUUUCUACCACUGUACCCUGCAGUCUCUCACGGUGAACGUGCAUAUGUCAUUUCACUGUAGUAAUAUGUAUCUGGUAAAGACCUUACCUUAUUUGCAUUGCAGUAUUUAAGAGCCUUAACAUAGUAAAUGUGCACAGUGUUAACUGUCUUGUUCAUAUCCUCAUGUCCACAGUUGUGCCUUUUAGAUCAGGACUCCUGUCCUUAGCAAAGCAAAGAGGCUCACUAAUAUAAAUAAAGCCUCUUUCAUGGGACUAUAGAUUGAAACAAUUCCAAUAUGGUCAAUGGUCCUUCAAGGUAAGACUUCUGUCCCUGAUCAUGCAGAUCCUCUUUGCUAUGUAUGUGCUGUUCACUUGAAACUCCUUUCUCAAACUAUUUAUGUACAUACUGGCAAUUUUAGUAGGAUCAAUUUUACUCUUAACUUUGAAGUACCGAAGUGGUGUUGACCUAUAAGGUCCCAUUUUGUGGCUUGCUAAUAAUGACUGAUUGGAGUAGUCCUUUUCUCUUCACUACAGAAGGAAAUCUGAACAGCAUAAAACUGUAAUGGCCACAAGCAUGUACCUUGCAUAUUAGUGUGCAUUUACUGCACGCGUCUCAUUCCAUUUGGAUAUGAUCCUACUCUCAAACCCUUUUGCAGUACAGCAAGGGUUCACUAAUCUUUUGGCUUCAUCUUCCUGGACACUGGAUAAGGAUAUCCCCUCCUUUCCACUCUUUAAUUUCCAGGACUAUUACUUUAAAGACUUAAUAUUUGCAUAAAAGAUGGGGUUUUAAUUGACCAGAUGUCCCUUGAACAUUAAUGUACAUAACAGGGACGUGAUCCAUUCAUUUUAAUAAAAAUACUUGGCCAGUUAAUGUAAAAUUACAAUUAUCCACAACCUUAUUACUUUUCGGACCAUUGUAUCUCUUUUGCACUACAGCAAGGGAUACUGUUUAUAUCCCCAAGGUCCCUCCUAGUGGACCAUUAAUAUACAGUGAAUUUUCCUUUGUCUUUGCCAGUAAACAAAGGUCAUGCUCCUCCUUUCAUUUGCAGUAUAUCAGGAUAUGCUGAUCAACAAGGCUGCAUUCUUUUGGACUGUUAUAUAUUAAAAGUAUGCAUAUGCAUUGCCUCCUGCUCUGUGCACUAGAAAAGGAUCCCACUUACUUCCUUCAGCAGGAAGUGAUAAUAAGCUCAAGACUUUCAUUUGGAAAGUUCACAUGAACAAUAUCUAAGCACUUCUAUAAGAACUAUUGUACCCUCUUCCCCGCUUUAAAGCAGAAAGAGGGUUUUACGAAGUGCUCUUCUUUUGGACUUAAGUGCAUUACCUUUGGAGUCGGAUUUUACAUCCUUGUACUCCUUUGACACCAGAGGCACGUUAAUUAUUUCUGAGCACUUCUCUUGUCAAUAUUAAUCUGUACCCUUACACAUAUGACCUGUACGGCAGAAAAGGUUCUGAAAUACCUACCUUUUGACUGGGGCUGCUGAGCAGUAGUAACUAUUAAUAACCUCAGCAUUUGGAUGAUUACUGUGCAAAAAUGUCAAGGACCUGUGUGCUCUCUUUGCAUACCAUCAAGGCUACUGAGUCCCAGAAUUGCUAGUAUGCAUAUUUAUAACUAUGAAUGUCUGGAAUAUUAUGUCCUCAUAACCCCUCUUUACAUUAUUGCAGAGGUUGCUCAGUUACCUAAAAUACUCAGCACUGUCAGUGAGCACAGGGACUCUGACGAAUGACUUGCUUUCUUCCUUAAACUUAUUUUGGGGCUAUUAAUAGGCACAAUGGCAGUUCUGGAUGGCUUAUUUUCUACUCCCAACUUGAGAAAAUCCCCUCUUCUUGUUUCCCAAUGAUAUAAUAAAGUACAGCAGUAUGUACACCCAACAAUGACCCAUAUUUUCUACCCUUUUUGCAUUGCUUUAGUAUAUAAAAUCCUAAAUUGUCACAAUCUCACACUUUGUACUGUGUUCCUUUUGCCCAGCCCCUAGUUUGUCCAUUGACCACUCUUCUGAAUCACUAAUUCUCACAAACCCAUCAUUAAGGAAGAGUUUGUGCCCUUUCCCGAUUCCAUCACUCCAUCCCUUUUAAGCCUCUUUGAACAGUAUUGAUUGGGCAAAGCCCUUCUCUUGACUUAAAGUCGACAACACCAGUUUACUCACUUCAUAUGGCUACAGUGUCUCAGUUGCCUUCUCCUUGGUCCCAGUGAACAGAGACACCUCGACUUCUUGCAUUAUUCUGGUAAUAUUAAUUACCCCAAACACCCUAUGUGUCGUUAAUAACUUUUGGUGUAUUUAUACACUGACUAGCAAAAGCAGGCCAAAACUAGGUGGAUGAGCCUUCAAUCUUUAACUUGCAUUUCUAAAUUACUCUAAUUCUAACUCCUGGCACAUUCUAGGUCCAGGAACCAUUCUUGCCUACCUUUAUUAAUGCUUUAUUGUGCAAAAUAGUGUAGGCAAGUAGCUUAGGGAGUUGGAUUGCCACCUUUUAUUUGGGGCUUUCCUUUACAGUAUGAACUGAAAAUUGUCUUCCUGAGAAGGAAGCUUAGCACUUUUCUUCCUCCAGGAGCCAACUGUCUGCUUAAGAAACUUUAAACCUGAUUUUGUAUAUUGCUACUGUACAGGACCAACUGCCAGAAAAGUUAUUGAUAAUUUUAUUCCUUAAGAAAGGCAUUUGGAUUGCAAGGUGGAUUGAUUGUGAGAUUAGCUUUUGUGAAGUAAAAAUAGCCAUUUGCGCAUUGUUUCUGAUGACUAAGCAGUGUCUCUGUACUGAGGGUGGUGAGUCUGUGGAAAGAUCACUGCAACUGUUGCAGAAUGUUUAAGACAAGUAUCUUUGCUUGGUCCUUACUACAAGUUUAACAAAAUGAAAAUCAAUCUUUGUGUGGCCUUUAGUAUGAUUAACUUUAAGGAAGACGAACUAAACCUUCUAAUCUUUAUAUUUUGUCUGACGUAAUAAUCACCAGCCCCUGCUUAUUUUUAAAAGGUGGCUGUGGACAGAUUAAAUUCGAGAUCGUCAAGUCGCCUUUGAAAAUUAUAGGCCAUCACAUUUAAUUAAUUCAUUCUGUCCAUCAUUAAAUUCUGGCAGUAAUUUGAGGUAGCUUGAAAAGAACCACCCUAAAGUGGGAAUUUAUUUUAGAGAUGAUGGAACCUGUUUCCCCACUUUACAUUUUAAAAUAUGUAUGCCAGGACCUAAUCAUUCCUUUAAAUGUACACUUCAAAGGGAGAUCUGCCUAGUAAGAAAAGAGCUUUCUCUAGUGUGAAGGGUGCUUUGUGGCCGCCGAGUACUUAGUCUUUUUUGGGAAGCUGUUGUGUAUGAGUGUGUGUAUGUGUGUGCAUGCAUGUCCCUGCGCGUAUUCAUUCGUUCACAUGGUGAUCAGACAACAAUGGAAGCUGCUUCAUCUAUCUUGUGGGUCCUGGAGAUUAAACUCAGAUCAUCAGGCUUGGCAGCAAGUGCCCUUACCCUCCGUGCCAUCUUGCCAUCCCGCUGCUGAGUGUUUGAUAUGACAUUGCUGAUGAAAAUAGUAAUCACAAGAGCAGUUCUCCGGCAUUACUGAAAAAAAAAAAAGAUACUAUUUUUCUGAGAAGGAUGUUCAAGGAACUCAUCCAGUGCAGGAUCCAGGUUGAACUACUGCUCCUCAGUUCCAUCAGACUCUGGCUGUUUAGACUACAGGAUGAAUUUGGAGUCUGUUUUGUGCCCCUGCCUCAAGAAGAAGGAUUGCCUGUAUUUAGAGGAGUGAAGAGUGCUGGAGAGAGCCCAAAGGGACAAUCCCUACGCGAGACUCAAGGACUGCCAGCAGCCGAUACAGCUAUAUUACAUCUCAGCAGAUCUUCUCUUCAAGUCCUCGCUACUCUGAACAAAAAGGUUACAGGCCACAUGGAGAAAAAAAAGAUCUCCCCCCGAGAAGUAUGGGCUUGUUGCUUUGCAGUGCUGGUGACCUAUUCCCUUUGACGAUCCCUAGGUGGAGAUGGGGCAUGAGGAUCCUCCAGGGGAAUGGCUCACCACCACUAGGCAACAGGCCUAGCCCAGAUUUCAAUGAGACACUUUCUCGAAUCCAGCAAGAUAGACAAAGGCUCAAAGAAUGCCACCCUACAUCAAAAUAGGAGAAAAGCUGCUACAAUAGUGGCACUGACCUUCUGAGGAAGCCAUUCUGCUCUAUUUGGUUCUCUCCCCAGAAUCUAGGAGAACUUUGCCAGCUAUUUACAUACUUCAAGAUGUACUGUGCUACCCUACUCAUGCCAUAUAUAAGACACAAUGUCAUCUACCAAACAUUACCCUUCCCCAAAGCAGCACAGAAAACUGGGUCUUCAGCACGAUCAAGAAAUGUGAACACACAGAAGGAAGGAAGCUUUAUAUACGACCCGAAGAUCCACAUGCCUGACUGCAGCAUCUUAAAAGCAAUAGAAUGAGUGUGUAUUGUGUUGUGUGCCUAUUUCUUGUUUUAUGUAUCUAUUUCUAACUUGCUUUGUGAGUCUACUUCUUCCUUGUGUUGUGUCUAAUUCUUUGUUACAUCUAUUUCUUCCUUGCUUUGUGUGUCUAUUUCUUCCUUCCUUUGUGUGUGUCUUUCUUCCUUGCUUUGUGUGUCUAUUUCUUCCUUGUUAUAUGUAUUUACUUCUUUGUGUGUCUAAUUCUUUGUUACAUCUAUUCCUUCCUUCCUUUGCAUGGCUUCCUUCCUCUGUGUGUCUUUUCUGUCCUGCAGUGUGUCUUACCUAUUCCCAUGUUUCUCUUGCAUGUUCUUUCUUGCAGAGCUUUGAGCUUUGUUUCACUUUCUCUGGUGCCUGUGUGAUCUGCCUUGUCUUGACUAGCUAUGGCUCUCUGUUUUAUCUAUCUGGUUGCUAUUUCUCUUAGCUCUUCUUUCACUCCUGCCUUUCAUGACUCGCCUUUGGGUCACAUGUUGUAUACGUCCCUCUCUCUUUCUUGUGCUCACCCCACUUGUUCUUUGUUCGAGUUCUCUUUGUCAGCCCAUUUCAGUCUUCUUUCUGCUGUUUCUAUCCUUAGUGAGUUCUUGUUUACAUUUCUUUCCUGCCUUUCUUGGGCCACUUUCUGUUUUCUUUUGUAUUUGUGUAUCUUUGCUUUUGGUGAUUUAUCUCAGCACCAUUCUGUUGCUUGUGUUUCUACUUCCUCCCUUCUGCUCACUUUGAGCAUCUCAGUCUCUUUACAAGUCUGUGUCUCUCUUGUAUUCUAAAGUAAUUCUUUCCUGGAUAUUUCUUUGUAUGUACAUGUGUAUGUGUGUGUGUGUGUGUGUGUGUCAUGUGUGACAGGGGCUUCAUAGCCCCUUCCCAAUAGGUCCAGAAUGUCACCUGUGGAGCCAUUCCUCACACCAGACUGCCCUGAGAAAUAAUCUAAGACAAAAUACAUCAUUCCAUCCGGUCAGGAUUCAAGUGGAUCUGAAGUGAACGCCCAAGUAGAAGACAAAAGUUAAAAGGACCAAAAUACACAGAUGGCCCGUCUUGAGCUGGCUGGACAGAAUGCUGACAACCCAAAGAAGAGGGACUGUUUCUAUAGGACACCUUGUGACAUCUAAGAACGGAGGAGAACUAUGUACGUCAUAGGACACAAAACCUGAGCUAAGUCCAAACAUAAGACCCAAGGACUCAAUCCUAUAUGGACAGAAUGUUUAAGAGAUAAAGGCCGAUGGCCCAGAACUCUGGAAGGAUAGAAACCCCAAGACCAAGAAGGGAAAUUCGAAGAUGAGACCUGUCCCCCAACCACAGCAUUCAUUUCCAUUUCUUAUAUUUCUAUUUAAGCUGUCUUCGCUUGAGAUGUAAUUUUCAUUGUUGCCAUUCCCCAUAAAGGAAUACAUUUUUAGCUGGAUAGUAUUGUGCAAGGGUCUGUUUUAAACUGGAUCUUAGCCAUUUGUUAAAUUGUUUUUGUUUUACAACUUCCAUUUCUCUUCACAUCUGCUCUACUUGAGACAGAACAAAAUCCAGCCAGUGUAUAUAGCCUGACUUUUGAAACUCCCCUAGGAACAAGCAUGCAUACAGAUACUGUAUUGUCAUCCUCCCUAUCUCAGAAGCCCUGAGCUGACAAGAAAAGGAAAGCAUCAGGUUGUUAGGGGAAAACAAUGUCAGGCUAUCUAGAGAAAAUAUGAGGAGUUGUUCCAGACCAAUGAGAAGAAUUAGACAAGCAAUAAUAUGCAGAUGUGCCAACCCUCCGAGAAGCACCAGCCAGCGGCACCUUCCUUCUUUGGGCUUAGGUGAGAGGGGUAUGGACUUUCUAAUAAUGGUUUGGGGACAAAAUGAGAUCUGAACUCCCUGCUCAUAGUAGUGGCCGAGUAACUUGGUGCAUUUCACCAAAGGAACUCCUGGGUUUAAAAUACCCACCUUUAAGAUUAAUGAUGAAAGUCUCUGAGGACUACUUAAUGGGCUUAAUCUUAUUCGUGCCUUCCUCUUCCUCUGUAAGAGGGAAGUUAAAUGACACACGAUGAAAAAGUAACAUGUUCAUAGCACAUUGGCAAUCAUGCAUAGUUAGUAUCUGAAAGUGUAGAGCUUUUCCUAUAAGGCAUCAGCCUGUAAGUACCUGAAGAUUUGUGGGCCCACCAUGGUCUCAGUUACAUAUUCCUUUUUUUUUUUUUUUUUUUUUAAAAAAAAAAAAAAAAAACCUUUU